GAUGAAGAACGUAGCGAACGUGCGAAACGUAAUGUGAAUUGCAGAAUUCAGUGAAUCAUCGAAUCUUUGAACGCAUCUUGCGCUCCUUGGUAUUCCGAGGAGCAUGCCUGUUUGAGUGUCGUGAAAUACUCUCAAUUUCAAUCUUUUUGUUUGAAAUUGGAUUUGGAUGUUGUUGUGGAUCUUGCUACGACUCAUCCUAAAUGCAUUAGCGAUCUGCCUUGAUCACACACAAUGUGAUAAGAUGAGCAUUGUUAUAAUCAAGUCAUGACUGCUUCUAACCGUCCCUUUGGGACAAACGUCUUAUGCCGUUUGACCUCAAAUCAGGUAGGACUACCCGCUGAACUUAAGCAUAUCAAUAAGCGGAGGA
rnacentral:misc_RNA from 1 species